rnacentral:rRNA from 1 species
GAUUCUGGCUCAGAACGAACGCUGGCGGCGCGUUUAAGCAUGCAAGUCGAGCGGCAAGGGCCUUCGGGCCCCUAGAGCGGCGGACGGGUGAGUAACACGUGGACAAUCUGCCCCCCGGCCCGGGAUAGCCCAGGGAAACCUGGAUUAAUACCGGAUGAGACGGGACCCGCGAUGGCGGGACCCGGGAAAGGCGCUGCGGCGCCGCCGGGGGAUGAGUCUGCGUCCCAUUAGCUAGACGGCGGGGUAACGGCCCACCGUGGCGACGAUGGGUAGCCGGCCUGAGAGGGUGGACGGCCACAUUGGAACUGAGACACGGUCCAGACUCCUACGGGAGGCAGCAGCUAAGAAUCUUCCGCAAUGGGCGAAAGCCUGACGGAGCCGACGCCGCGUGAACGAAGAAGGCCGUGAGGUUGUAAAGUUCUUUUCGGGAGGGGAACAACCGUGGCAGGGAAUGGCCGCGGGAUGACGUGAAUCCCGGAAUAAGCCCCGGCUAACUACGUGCCAGCAGCCGC